GGGUCAGUAGGUUGGUCGUGCCACCGGUAUGCACUGGCCUCACUGAUUCCUCCUUCUUGUAGAACCGUAAUGCCAUUUAGUUGGUGUUGCGGGGAAACAGGACUGUUACUUUGAAAAAAUUAGAGUGUUUAAAGCAAGCUAACGCUUGAAUACAUUAGCAUGGAAUAAUGAAAUAGGACG
rnacentral:rRNA from 1 species